rnacentral:lncRNA from 1 species
UCUCCUGACCUCGUGAUCCACCCACCUCGGCCUCCCAAAGUGCUCUGAUUACAGGCGUGAGCCACCGCGCCCGGCCAGCCAUCUGCUUAAUUUUUAUGUACAUUGCUUAUUUUUGUUUCUUGAGAUAAAAUUCAUGUAUUAAUAAUUUUAUUUAUUUAUUUAAAUGAAAUAAAUGAAGACGAACACCAGCUCAUCUUCAAAUUAUCCCAAAUGUUGAAAUCUCCACUGAAGUCAUUCAGACCUACCAGUGUCCAUUUCUCCAAAAUAUGAAGUCCUCUGCGGAAGUGAUUCCAGACCUUCAGAGCCGUGGUGAACUUUGUGAAUUACUGAAACCACAAGUGAAAGCAAUCUUGAAGAUUCAAUAGCAGUUGAUCAUAUAGUGCCA